GAUGAACGCUGGCGGCGUGCCUAAUACAUGCAAGUCGAGCGAACAGAUAAGGAGCUUGCUCCUUUGACGUUAGCGGCGGACGGGUGAGUAACACGUGGGUAACCUACCUAUAAGACUGGGAUAACUUCGGGAAACCGGAGCUAAUACCGGAUAACAUUUUGAACCGCAUGGUUCUAUAGUGAAAGAUGGUUUUGCUAUCACUUAUAGAUGGACCCGCGCCGUAUUAGCUAGUUGGUAAGGUAACGGCUUACCAAGGCGACGAUACGUAGCCGACCUGAGAGGGUGAUCGGCCACACUGGAACGGAGACACGGUCCAGACUCCUACGGGAGGCAGCAGUAGGGAAUCUUCCGCAAUGGGCGAAAGCCUGACGGAGCAACGCCGCGUGAGUGAUGAAGGGUUUCGGAUCGUAAAACUCUGUUAUUAGGGAAGAACAAAUGUGUAAGUAACUGUGCACGUCUUGACGGUACCUAAUCAGAAAGCAACGGCUAACUACGUG
rnacentral:rRNA from 1 species